AGAGUUUGAUUAUGGCUCAGGACGAACGCUGGCGGCGUGCUUAAAACAUGCAAGUCGAACGAGGCCUUUGGCCUAGUGGCGAACGGCGGAGUAAUACAUAAGCAACGUGCCCCGACGACCGGGAUAGCCCCUCGAAAGAGGGAUUAAUACCGGAUGUGGCCCUUGGAGGACAUCCUUCGAGGAUUAAAACGAGUAAUCGGCAUCGGGAGCGGCUUGUGGCCUAUCAGCUUGUUGGUGGGGUAAUGGCCUACCAAGGCUACGACGGGUAGCUGGUCUGAGAGGACGACCAGCCCGACUGGGACUGAGACACGGCCCAGACUCCUACGGGAGGCAGCAGUUGGGAAUCUUGCACAAUGGGCGAAAGCCUGAUGCAGCGACGCCGCGUGGAGGACGAAGUCUCUCGGGAUGUAAACUCCUUUUGCCAGGAAAGAUAAUGACGGUACCUGNAUAGCCCG
rnacentral:rRNA from 1 species